AUGUGGAGGAACUUAGCGGCGAUGAUGACGUCGCAGAGGGCGUCCUGGCUGAGGCCGUCGACGAGCUUGCGGUCCCACUCCAUCAGCGCCUCCACGGAUGCCUCGGAGUUGCAGCUGCUGCUACCCUCAUCGACGCGGCUGUUGGCAGAGGCGGCGUCGGCGUGCUUGUUGCAGUACUCGAUUACCGUGGCGAGGGCCCUGGCGUCCACGUCGGGUAGCUGGAUGAUGCCUCCGGCGCAGCCCUGGUCGAUCAUGUCGGCGAGGGGCACGGACAACCGUGCCGCCUCCUCCGACACCGUGAACAGCAUCCCAUCCGAGCUCUCCAAGGUGAUGACAGCACUGGCCAUGAAGAAAAAGAUCUCUUUUUUGCCGGACACCUCUUCCAUCGCUCCCUUCUCCUCCGGCCGUUGUCCCUUCGUUCCGCUAAAACGUUGUCGCUCCCUUCUUUCCCUCUCCGCCGCCGACAUUCCCUUCUCAGAUAAUGCAAUUUCAGAGAACCAUGUUAACUUCCCUUCCAUCUCCCCUGCUUCGGCCUUCUUCUUGUGCCCCUUCUUUGCCGAUGCCGGUCGAUUUUAUCCCUUUUGCUCCGCCGUGGCGCUCUCCUCCUCCUCCUCCCCCUCUUCCUCAUCCCCGGCCGUCGCUCCCUACUCUUCCUUCUCCGCCGUCGACCCCUUCUCCUUGUCCGCGGCCGCGUCUCCCUUCUCCUCCUCCGUCGCUCCCGUCUUCCCCAUCGCCUUGUCCCCGGUCGUCGCUCCCUUCUCUCCCGGCGCCGCUCCCGUUCCCAUCUCUUGCUUCUCCUCCGCCGCCAUUGCUCUGGAUGUGGGUUAG
rnacentral:rRNA from 1 species